UACUCUGUUAGAGGAAGGGGUCGGCCUGACAAGAGCAGGAGCUGAGCUGGCUGGAGGCUGCAGUUGUGAAGCUGGUCUAACGGGGAGGAGCCAUGAGGACAUCCAGGGGAGCUUUAGUCGUGUUCUCGUGGCUGCAGCUGAGCUGGUUCAGCCAAGGAGAGAUGGUGGAGCAGCGGCCUUCGACCCUGAGUGUGCGACAGGGACGCAGCUCUGUCAUCAACUGCAGCUAUUCAGACAGUGCCUCAGUCUACUUCCCUUGGUAUAAGCAAGAGCUUGGAAAAGGUCCCCAGCUCCUUAUAGACAUUCGUUCCACCACGGCCACAAAAGAAGACCAAAGGCUCACUGUCUCACUGAGCAGGACGGCCAGACAUCUGUCCCUGCACAUCGCAGACACGCAGCCUGAAGACUCAGCUGUGUACUUCUGCGCAGCAAGCACACACUGCUCCCCAGACACCUGCUGCCUGCACUCAAACCUGCCAGUGGGGCAGCCCCUGGCCUUUGACACAGACCUUCCAGGAGCGCGUUUGUCCUUUGUUGGUCUGCAAGUGGAAGAUUUUAUUAUUUUCUUGGAAGAGAGGGAGUGAGCACAAGCAGGGGAAGCAACAGAGGGAGGAGGAGUAGCAGGGUCCCCGCCAAACAGGGAGACUGACGUGCUGUUCAUCCCAGGCCCCUGGGAUCAUGACCUGAGGUGAAGGCAGAUGCUUAACCGACUGAGCCACCCAGAGCCCCCAAGUCUUGGUUUUGGUUGAAGUUAUGAUCUCAGGGUCAUGAGAUCAAGUCCUGAAUCAGGCUGCAAUCACAGCGAGGAAUCCUUUCCCUCUCCCUCUCCCAUUGCCCCUCCCCUCGCUUUCUCCUCUCCUUCUCUAAUAAAUAAAUAAAUCUUAAAAAGAAAAAGAAUCUGAGAUCAUUCUGUGGGAUUCAACUUCAUUCAUGAUGUUUCUUCUGUCUAGAAUUCAUAUA